CCCUUAACCUAAAAAAAACUGUACAAAAACUAGCCUAAAAUACAAAGACUAGACCUAGGACCUGGAUGGAUGAAAUCCGCCGUUCAACACAACACAACCCCUUUGGAUCUUCUUCUUCAUUCCAACAAUACAAGACCAAGGGACCUAAGGCAAAAAAUAUGAAAGAGAUCCCUAAGCUAGCUAUCCGCCGUUACACCUAAACCCCACCCCAAAAAUGACCCUUCACUCCUCCUCUCCCCAGCAGCGGUGAACCUGUCGGAACACACAAACGAAAACCCUCCCCCCAGCGAGAAUCUCGCUCAGUCAUUACACACCACUAAUACCACGAUCGUCGGACAGAAACAUAGACGAGAGAUGAGGAACGAGAGCUGAGUAGCUCACCCGUCGUCAUCUUCUUCACAUCACAGAGCCUUGAAGCAAAUCUCCAUAGACACCAACCAUAAAGAUCAGUGCCCUUGAUCCACUGCUCGAAACCUCCAUCGAAACAACGUGAAAUAGCCCGAAACAACUUCGAAUCGCGAGCCACUGUUAAGGAGACCAUUGGUUUUGUCUUUCUGGUUUAGUUCGAGUUUUCUAACGAGCUUCGAGGUCGUUGUCCAUGGAGUCCAUUUCAAUCGUACGUCGAGGUACUGUCUAUUGGCUUCCGGUUCGAGUUCCGUCCGGGGUUCUAGCGGUUUGAGAGACUGUGGAUUGCUGCUAGAUCUUUGUUGAUGAGUCUGCCAAUCUCUGUUAUUAGCUCCACAAGAUUUUUGGCUUGAUUUAAGGUAACAUCCAAGCUUUCUGUUAUAGUAUUACAAUAUUGUUAGAUUUUAAUGUCUUAUGUUGUAUCUUUCUUUUUAAUGCCAUUCUUGUGGCUGUAAAUUAAGUGAGAUGUGAUUAUUUUCAACUGCUCUUCAGACGUAUGGAUAAAAUUUAUUCAUGGAUUUUUCUUCUCUUGAUUGAACUUUCGGUUUAGCUUUAAAAAAUAGUUCAAUUUGUGUGUUAAAAUGAAGGAUAUGUUGGAUAUCAAUAGUGAAUUUAUGGUGAUACUAAAUGACUACUAUGAUGAAUGUGCUUGUUGUGAUUUUUCUUCUAAUAUUAAAAUAUAUGAAUGAGAUUGGGACCAUGUAUGCAAGGUUUUAAAUCUGUAAAAUUAGGAUGCUAGUGCUUUACUCUCGUGCUAGACUUUGAAUCGGCCCAUUUUGGAGACUGAUAAUGAUUAAGUUGAGCACUGAUUUUAGUUCAAAUUAGAUUAUGUGAAUAGAAUCAAACUUAGAAAAAAUAAAUAUUCGUAGACAAUGCUUUAGACGCAUUUUAAAUUUAUCAUUGUGAUUGUGCGCACGUUCACGUGACAUAAUCACGAUUCUAAAAGCCAAAUUGGAGUAUGCGUUCGCGCAACUUUGACCAAACUUUCGCAAUAAUAAUAAAUUUGUUAUUAAUAUAGUCCUCGUUAAUUAGAUGUAGUUCUUUAGGCCGAGGUGUGCCAUCCAUAAUUGAAUCCCUAUGGCUCUUGUGUUAAUUUUAUAACUUAGACAUUAAAAUGAUAUUCGGAGUUGGCUCUAGGCACGUUUAAUCCAUCAUCGUAGUGGUGUACACGUUCGCGUGACAUAAUUACGGUUCUAAAAAACAAAACCGGAGUAUACGUUCGCGCAACUUUGGCCAAACUUUUUUAAUAAUUUUAAAGUGUUAUUAAUUGUGGACACGUUCGCGUGACAUGAUUUUUGACGCGCCAAACAAAUGGGUACACGUACGUGUGACUUGUUUUAAGAUAACUUUCUUAAUUAAAAAGGCAAAUCCACAUAGGUUCUAAAAUAAGUAAUUAAACAAUUUGAUUAAGCCGGGUAUGAUCAAAACGACCGUGUUAAAACCAGAAACUCGGGAAUGCCUAACACCUUCUUUCGGGUUAACAGAAUUCCUUACCGGGAUUUUUGUGUUCGCAGAUCGUAAAUAGAGUCAAACUUCCUCGAUUUGGGAUUUUAAACCGGUGACUUGGGACACCAUAAAUUAUCCCAAGUGGAGACUCUGAAUUUUAAAUAAAUAAUCCCGUUUCGAUUGUCACUUAAAUUGGAAAAACUCCCUUAUACCCUUCCGGGGGUAGGAAAAGGAGGUGUGACAAGUUAGAUGAGUUCCGGUACCAUGCAUACACAUGUUCGUCCUUAUACAAAAAGAAGAUGAAAUAUCUUCAUGAUAAUUACAUUUGGGACAAAGAGUUCAAAGAGGGUGAUCUUGUGUUUUUGUUCAAUUCACAAUUGAGGAUGUUUCUCGGGAAGGUAAAGUCUAAAUGGAGUGGCCUGUUUGAAGUUGUGGGUAUGACACCCUUUGAUGCAUUGGACUUGAAGAACAAAUAUGAUGAGGUGUUUCAAGUCAAUGAUCACCGGGUGAAGCAUUAUUUGAGAAAAGUUGGUGAUGGCCACGUUGUGGCGGUGAUUCAUUUCAAGAGAUAGUAAUUGUGUCGUGCCGCGACGUUAAAUCAGGCGCUUCUUGGGAGGCAACUUAUGUUUAUUUUUCUUUUUAUUUUCUUCUUUUGUAGAUAGGUGUUAUUUUUGUGCUAGCUGGAUUUGAAGUGUGUUGCAGUGAUGAGUGUGCUUUAUAGGAACUGUGCUCAGAAAAUUGGUUAAGUGUGGGACGAAGUGUGGACCGCACAAUUGUGAUUGCUACAACAAAAAGGGAACUGUGGCCGCACAAUUGUAGUGUGGACUGCACAAAUUGAAAAGGGAAAAUACAAACUCUCUGAAAUUUUGUUUGUUAGAGAAAUGGCCAAAGUGCAGCUGCGCAAGGAAAUUUGCGAUCCGCAACAAAUAUCUGCAGCCGCGAUGGUAUUUCUACUAACCGCAGAUCAAUAAAGGCCUUUGAGCCUCAUGUAAUAGAGUACGUACUGCAGGAGGAAUUCUGUGGCUGCACUCGUCCCUUUAUCCCUCAAGCCAGGCUCGUCAGUAUAAAUAGUAACUUUAGGGUCACUAUACAACUUUUUUCCCUCUCUGAGCUCUCAAAGUUCUAAAAAUUAAAAUUUCUUGUUAAAGUAGCCGCUCACAAGCAUAACAACUGUUGAUCACUCAUCUGUUGCAUUCACUCAUCUCUGGUAUGCAUUAUCAUCUUGAUUAACUUCUCUAAAGUUUUAGAUUUUUAGUAAAUUUGGAACUAUUUGUCUAUGAAUUUAUUUGAACAUUGUUGUGGGGUGAAUAUGUUGUGGGUAGAUUAAUAAUUUCUCUACGGGGACUGGGUUACUUGAUUUUCAUACUUAAUUGUUAAUACCAUGUCGAUUGUGCAAAAAAAUGUUAACCCUAAGACCACUGUUCAUAAAAGUUUUGAAAUAUGUGUCCACACAAGAAAUUGUGAGGUCUACAGAAGUUGAAAUUAAGGGUCUUUGGUCAAGCAUGAUUUUGCGGCCGCACUUGAAAUUGUGCCGACCGCAGAAAUCCCAUCGCGGUCACAGAAAAGUGUGUACGGCCGCAAAACAGCCCAAUCUCUUUCUUUAGAAAGUUGAAAUUUUGGGAAUUUGAUGUUCGACCACAAUAAAAAUUGUGCGGACCGCAAUCCAAGUCUGUGGACCGUAAAGGAGAAAUGUGUAGUCCGCAAUGCCCAAUCUGCGGCCGCCAACAAUAUUCUGUGGACCGCAAUUCCCUACCCUGAAAUCAUGUUUUACAAUAUGUUGUGCACUGUCUCUCUGGUGUGUUCUUACAUGUUUACAAUUUAAUUGAAAUUGACACCUGCUUUUGCUUGGUAUAGAACAUGGUUCGAUCUAGAGGAAGGGGCGACACUUCAAAGAGAAGGGGUUACUCUUCUCGAGGACGAGGAAAGAGACCCAUGCCUAGUUCCCAACAUCCUGACAGUAGAAAGAAGAUAGCAACAGGCAGAUGGCAAGGUGUCGAGUCCUCAU
rnacentral:lncRNA from 1 species